AGCAGCCGCGGUAAUUCCAGCUCCAAUAGCGUAUAUUAAAGUUGUUGCAGUUAAAAAGCUCGUAGUUGAAUUUCGGGAUGAUCAGGUUGGUCGUGCCAUUGGUAUGUACUAGCUUUGGUGGUUCCUACCUCUUGAAGAACCGUAAUGUCAUUAACUUGGUGUUGCGGGGAAUCAGGACUGUUACUUUGAAAAAAUUAGAGUGUUUAAAGCAGGCAAACGCUUGAAUACAUUAGCAUGGAAUAAUGAAAUAGGACGUUUGAUCUUAUUUUGUUGGUUUCUAGGAUCGACGUAAUGAUUAAUAGGGAUAGUUGGGGGCAUUAGUAUUCAAUUGUCAGAGGUGAAAUUCUUGGAUUUAUUGAAGACUAACUACUGCGAAAGCAUUUGCCAAGGAUGUUUUCAUUAAUCAAGAACGAAAGUUAGGGGAUCGAAGACGAUCAGAUACCGUCGUAGUCUUAACCAUAAACUAUGCCGACUAGGGAUCGGAUGAUGUUAAUUUUUUAAUGACUCA
rnacentral:rRNA from 1 species